CCCACGGACCCUCUCACUCCUGAGCCCCCUCCCUCCCCUUCCACCGGGUUCUUGGUCUUUUCGGACAAAGUCCCGUUCUUACCUGACACCUGCAGCCAGAUUCGUCUCAAAAUAAGCUUCACAAAGGUGCUAAAAGAGAGGCAGUCAUCUGUGGCGGGACCCAGCUGCAUAUAGGAAACAGCUGCCUGCUGGGCUCGGUGUGUAAGAAAGGAAGAGAAGAAUCACGACGGAGUGUUUAAAAAUGAACAUAAAGCGUAUACUGGAGAGGGCAACAGAGGCCUGUAAUUAACCCAGUGCUAAGCGUCUGUGUUUCUGUGAACAGCUUCUUUUCCAGGACUUGUUGUAACUUGGGUAUAAAUAUUUGUUACAGACUGAAACCGAAGGCACGAGGCCGUAGCUGGAUGCUGUCUCCCCUCGUGUCUCUCUGCUUUCUAAGCAGGGAUUCUUAAUAAUGCAGAGAGAGCGAGGUAUUUUGGAUGCCCACGCCCACUCCCAAACGCAAGCCGCCGGGAGCAUCUGCACGAACGCAGACACCUACGCGCAUCACACAUGUGCCCGGGGCCCUUCCGCAGCUGCUCGGCGCUGGGUUCGGGGCAGAGGCCCGCGGAGUCCUGGGCAGAAGCAGCGGGAGGAGGCCCCGAGCCCGCCUGGAGCCUCUGGAACAGAAAUGUGGGGAGCCUUUGAAGUUACCACCGCUCAGGUGGACGCCCCCCAGAGCAGGCCUCAGAGGAAGACAUUCAUUUUCACACAAAGGGGAAAAUUCCUUGGGACCCUGGUGUUUCCACUAAAACAAACCUCUAAAAAGUUGUUCUCCGGGGGAUCAAGGACCAGCUGUUCUCCAUCUCCAUGAGGCUGUGAAGAGAGGAGGUGCAGCAGGAGAGAUGCGAGCUAGACAGAGGGGACGGGCGGCGAGGCGAGGAACAGCCCAUGGCACGGGGACCAGGAAGACAGCACGUGGUUUUCCAAACCGGUGUGGCUGCGUUCAGAGGAAGGAGGGUGCAGAGCACAGCAUUUCAAGAUCGGUGCUGGGUUCACGGAGGAAAUAGCGACCCAUGGGGCGCCUGGGUGGCUCAGUGGGUUGGGCAUCCGACUCCAGCUCAGGUCGUGAUCUCACAGUCCGUGGGUUCGAGCCCCGCGUCUGCUCUGGGCUGACAGCUCGGAGGCUGGAGCCUGCUUCGGAUUCUGUGUCUCCUUCCCUCUCUGUCCCUCCCCCACUUGUGCUCUGUCUCUGUCUCUCAAAAAUAAAUAAAUGUAAAAAAAAAAAAGAAAAGAAGAAGAAGAAAAGAGCAACCCAUUGCUCUUUGUCAUGGUGCUGAGAUCGCUGGGGAGCAUACACCCUGAACUCACAGAUGGAGAGCGCUGACAGCCCUGAGCAGGUCUCCACCCACACCCAGAUCUUCCACAGAGGCUGGACGAUCGAGUGUCCUGCUGUAGAUGAAGCUUGUCUUGGCUUUAUGCUGGUUCACCCCACCAAGGAGAUGAGGCUCUUGACAUUCAAUGCGUCUAAGAAGAUUUUCCAAAGCUCACCAAACCAAUGACAGAAUUGGAUUCAAAUUCCGGAUGGCGGGCCCCAAUACCCGUGCUUCGCAAGCUCUUCCGCACUUAUUUCGGCAGCACCGGCGACUUUGGUCCAACGCGUUCUUUCCGUUCUCGUCGCGUUCUGACUUCUGCUCAUGCCUGUGUAUCCAGGCCCAGGAUCUGGAGCUGCAGAGGCUCAAGAGGCCUGCCCAGUGGAGUUCAUACUUGUUUAUGGGAGGCGGUGAGGCAGCUGGGGAGGGGCGAGGAUGAGCCUGUUCGGUUAGUGGUCAAUUCUGGACCCCGAGCCCCUCUUCUGUGACCACAGCGGAGUCGCCCUGAAACACACAGCACACCAAAGAGCCUUCUGUCUGCAGGCUCUGUUCUAGUCACAGAAGAGACAGAAGGAGACAGACCUGUGUGCCCCCCACCAUGUGUUUGAAAAUAAAGCGUAUCGAUAGAAAAGUUGAGGUACGGUAAGGGGGACAAGACCAGGAGGUGACUGCCGUCGAAAAGAUUGUCGUUCAUCGUUUCCAAGAGAAAGGGGCACACAGGGAAGCCCCAGUGUUGGUCAGAGGGCGGAGGGAUUAAGGGGGAAAUGUGUGGGAGAGCCUUUAUUGUGAUUUCCCUGGGAAGGAACAGGCAAGGUGGGAUUGACAGAUUUAACAUUGGCUAGUUUGAAUACUCUCUGGUGUAGAAACUGUCCCAAGUAGCCGGGUACCCGGUCCUGGGUAUUUAGGGCAGCGAGUAGUGGCCCAGAGUGUGAGAGCCUGUAGAGGAGGUGUCUGGGGGUGGGCUCUGGAUUGCUUGAUUUGGAAAGUGUGCCUGUAGGUGAAUCCUUUAUUAGCGCUAGGUAUCCAUUGACCUUGGGAGGGGCAGUCACUGCAAAGUCAACAAAGCUCCAGAUGUCACCAGAAUACAGAAAAUAAAAGCUAUGUUACUCAACGCGACCAGGAAUUGGGGCUGUGGAUGGGGGUUUGGCCAGCCACUGAACAGCGUCCAUCCACUCUAGUAUAUGUGGUUUUGGUCCAACAAGUGUGUUUUUAUAAGGAAAUAAGUGGGCAGAUGAGCCGGGAUAGGUGUACGGGGUCC